rnacentral:rRNA from 1 species
GACGAACGCUGGCGGCGUGCUUAACACAUGCAAGUCGAACGCUGAAGACCUGGCUUUUGUUGGGUUGGAUGAGUGGCGAACGGGUGAGUAACACGUGAGUAACCUGCCCUCUUCUUUGGGAUAACGCCCGGAAACGGGUGCUAAUACUGGAUAUUCACUGAUCUUCGCAUGGGGGUUGGUGGAAAGGUUUGUUCUGGUGGGGGAUGGGCUCGCGGCCUAUCAGCUUGUUGGUGGGGUGAUGGCCUACCAAGGCUUUGACGGGUAGCCGGCCUGAGAGGGUGACCGGUCACAUUGGGACUGAGAUACGGCCCAGACUCCUACGGGAGGCAGCAGUGGGGAAUAUUGCACAAUGGGCGAAAGCCUGAUGCAGCGACGCCGCGUGAGGGAUGGAGGCCUUCGGGUUGUAAACCUCUUCCGCUCAUGGUCAAGCCGCAACUGUGGGUUGUGGUGAGGGUAGUGGGUAAAGAAGCGCCGGCUAACUACGUG